rnacentral:rRNA from 1 species
GUUCUCCAAUCAAGUAGGACUACCCGCUGAACUUAAGCAUAUCAAUAAGCGGAGGAAAAGAAACUAACAAGGAUUCCCCUAGUAACGGCGAGUGAAGUGGGAAAAGCUCAAUUUUGUAAUCUGGCUCUUUUAGAGUCCGAGUUGUAGUCUAGAGAAGUGCUAUCCGCGUCGGACCUUAAACAAGGCUGUUGGAAUGCAGCGUCGUAGAGGGUGAGAAUCCCGUACAUGUUGAGGACUCCCGUAUGCAUUGUGAUACAUUUUCAAAGAGUCGAGUUGUUUGGGAAUGCAGCUCAAAUUGGGUGGUAAAUUCCAUCUAAAGCUAAAUAUUGGCGAGAGACCGAUAGCGAACAAGUACCGUGAGGGAAAAGAUGAAAAGCACUUUGGAAA